UGGGUACUGAUAUUUUUUCUGUAUUGUCCUAGCCUGCAUAAAGGAUGUGGAGGAAAAUACCUGCAAAUCAGAAGGGCUUUCUCCCCAGAUGCCACCCAGUGCGGAGGAAAGUGAUUUAUACCACAGAGAGGAUGGGAGAGGAUUUCCCAUCCAGGAACCCUUAACAGACCCACUUCACUC